AACUUCAAAAAUCUAAACAGAUUUUUAGAUUCUGCCUAAUGUAACCACUUUAUUUUGCAGGGCGUCAGAGAGGGAUUUUUUUCGCCAUUAACCCAGACCCCAGGGCAAUGUUCUUCCCCUCCUUCCAAGCCUACUCCCCUGCUGCCCAGACACGGACGGGGAGACUGAGCUGCUGGGGAGGGUUUAUCCAUGAAGGCAAGGCCCAUGAGCCGCGACUGCCUGUUUGUGGAGAGACGAUCAUACUGUCAAGAGGCAGUAAGGGAAAAUCACAAAAGUAAACACAUUUCUUCUCCCACCCCUUUCUAUUUUUGCCUGGGUGUCUGAGCCAGCGCUUGGCCCAGGUUUGACCGAGUAGAUCGUCCUCCUUGGCAACGCCAGCCUGGAGAGAUCAACCUGCAGGUUCACUGCCACUUCACACUCUCAUGAAGCUGACUCCACUUCUUUCUUCCCUUCCCUUCCCUUCCCACCCAAGGUCUCCGACCAGAAAAGCAUGUGUCUUCUCUACUUCCUCUCAGUGCAGUGAUGGGGUGUCUGGAUGAGUACUGAGCUCUCAGGAGAAAGUUGGGAGCCUGUUUUUCUAGAAUAUGCCUCCACACAUUGGAGAGUGUGCCGUUCAGCACUUCUGCUUUUUCUCCAAGGGCUUUCAUACCCAUUAUCACAUGCUUCCCCUGCUCUGGGCCCUACACUCAGAGAUGCAGGCAACUUCUCCAGCUAAUCUUCACACUCCUCAUAGGCUCAGGGGAUCUCAGACUUGGAAGAGAAAGCACAGAAAGCAUCUGACAUCCAAAGAGAAGGGGGAAGAUCAGCCCAAGAGAAUCAGGCCAAAUUGAAAAGAGGAUGUGAAACAGUAAAACAAGCACAGGAGAAAGCAGAAAUACAGCCCGCCUCGUGCCCUGGCAGAUUCACUGUCUGGUUCCAAAAGUGGAAGAUUUCCUCCAUCGAGCAGGUAGCUGACCUUAUGGAACACUGGGCAGGACAAGCUGGCCCUAUAAUGUGCUGUCCAUUUCGAGCGAGCACUGUAGGGCAGGGGACACGACCUUCUGCCAGCAGAGAGCAGGGAGGGUCAACACACUGUGAAAGAUGCUUUCCGUUGACAGAACAACCGUCACUAAAUUCAGCGCUGUGCUAAUCCCUACUUGACGGACAGUGCAAAUAUAAUUGGAAGGAGGAAUUUUUGAAAUACCUCAGAGAACAAACUUCCCAACCACUUUCAAGAACUUGAGAAACUCUUAUGUCCUAUGAAUACGAGGAGGCAGGGUAAGGUGACAAGAGGCCUGGACUGGGACUUCUGCAGCUAGACUGCAGGUCUCAACUGGGCCUCUCCUCGCUCUGUGUUUCUCUCUCUGUCUCUCUCUCAAGUUGGGUCAAGUAGUUUUCCCGUUUUCCUCAGGGGACCUCAAUUUGCUCAUUGGUAGAAUACGAAGACUCAUGCAGGUGGUCUCUAAGCUCUGCCUCGCUCUGAGUUUACAUAGCCAUUAACUAAGAGGCUAACUAGAGACAGCAAUUUAUGUUUCUAAUUUGAGUUGAUGACAUUUGCCACAUAAAUAAUGGUUUAAUGUCCUGGGGAUGGUCAGCUUGCCGAAGAGAAUGCCGCAAAGGACUAUUUGGUGCAUGAUAGCCGCUUUCAAACAUUUACGGACUCUCUGGGGAAAAGGAGUGUACCUGUGUUACAUCAACACCAGAAGGCAAGGAGACCUACGUGGGAAGGUAAAGGAAGACUUUUCUUGGGGUGAAAGAGGUUCUCUAUCAGAAGAGUGAGUCUCCCAUCACUGGAAGCAUUCAAGGGAAUUCCAAAUAACGGGGUUCCCUUACUAAGCAGGGCCUGGAGGC
rnacentral:lncRNA from 1 species